AACGAACGCUGGCGGCAGGCCUAAUACAUGCAAGUCGAACGAACCGUUUACGGUGAGUGGCGCACGGGUGCGUAACACGUGGGAACAUACCCUUUGGUACGGAAUAACGUCUGGAAACGGGCGCUAAUACCGUAUAAUGACUUCGGUCCAAAGAUUUAUCGCCAAAGGAUUGGCCCGCGUCUGAUUAGUUAGUUGGUAGGGUAAUGGCUUACCAAGACGAUGAUCAGUAGCUGGUCUGAGAGGAUGAUCAGCCACACUGGGACUGAGACACGGCCCAG
rnacentral:rRNA from 1 species